UUUUUCGUGGCAAACCUGUCACGGAAAAGCAACAUUAAUUUAUUGGAUUAAAGAAAAUGUUCUUAAAAAAAUAUUCUCCUCUUUUACUUCUGGUUCCUUGUUUUAGAACUCCACUAAAGUUAGAUUUUCCAAACGUAGAAAGUCAUGAAAGGCAAUUCUUGUGCGAUAUGGCUGGCGAUAACUUUGGGGUAAACGAUCAUGCCUUCCGUAAUAUUUUGAAGAGUCAUUACGAUCACAUCCGCUGACAAGAACGCCUCGGAUAAAAGCAUUAUUGGCCAAAGUCAUCAAGUGUCUUGCUAUACUACAACACCUCUCUGAACGCAUUGGGUUCCUUUUGUAUGGCAUUGCACUUGAUCCAAUUUGAGUGCUCUCGAACGGUUCCUCGACUUCUUUCAUAUUCGCCAGUAAUCGAAUAUCACUACAGAUCUGUGGAACAGAAAUUAAUAAAGCAAAUCUUCGAAGGAA